rnacentral:rRNA from 1 species
UACGGAGGGGGCUAGCGUUGUUCGGAAUUACUGGGCGUAAAGCGUACGUAGGCGGCUUUGUAAGUUAGAGGUGAAAGCCCGGAGCUCAACUCCGGAAUUGCCUUUAAGACUGCAUCGCUAGAAUUGUGGAGAGGUAAGUGGAAUUCCGAGUGUAGAGGUGAAAUUCGUAGAUAUUCGGAAGAACACCAGUGGCGAAGGCGACUUACUGGACACAUAUUGACGCUGAGGUGCGAAAGCGUGGGGAGCAAACAGG